AUCCAGACUCCUACGGGAGGCAGCAGUGGGGAAUAUUGCACAAUGGGGGAAACCCUGAUGCAGCGACGCCGCGUGAAGGACGAAGUAUUUCGGUACGUAAACUUCUAUCAGCAGGGAAGAAAAUGACGGUACCUGAGUAAGAAGCCCCGGCUAACUACGUGCCAGCAGCCGCGGUAAUACGUAGGGGGCAAGCGUUAUCCGGAUUUACUGGGUGUAAAGGGAGCGUAGACGGCGAUACAAGUCUGAAGUGAAAGCCCGGCGCUCAACCCCGGGACUGCUUUGGAAACUGUGUUGCUGGAGUGCUGGAGAGGCAAGCGGAAUUCCUAGUGUAGCGGUGAAAUGCGUAGAUAUUAGGAAGAACACCAGUGGCGAAGGUGGCUUGCUGGACAGUAACUGACGUUGAGGCUCGAAAGCGUGGGGAGCAAACAGGAUUAGAUACCCCCGUAC
rnacentral:rRNA from 1 species